rnacentral:rRNA from 1 species
AACGACUCUCGGCAACGGAUAUCUCGGCUCUCGCAUCGAUGAAGAACGUAGCGAAAUGCGAUACUUGGUGUGAAUUGCAGAAUCCCGUGAACCAUCGAGUCUUUGAACGCAAGUUGCGCCCGAAGCCUUCAGGUUGAGGGCACGUCUGCCUGGGUGUCACGC